rnacentral:rRNA from 1 species
GAUGAACGCUGGCGGUGUGCCUAAUACAUGCAAGUCGAGCGACCACAUGAUGAGCUUUUUCCUCUGCCGUUGGCGGCUGACGGGUGAGUAACACGUAGAUAACCUUCUUCUUUUUCUUGGAUAAUUUCGUAAAGCCACUGCUACUACUACCUCAUAUAUUCUACCGCUUGGUUCAAUAGUUCUUGACACUUUUGCUGUCUCUAUUAGCUGAUUCCGCGCCGCAUUAGCUAGUUGGUAAGGUAACGGCUUACCAAGGCAACGAUGCGUAGCCGAUCUGAGAGGAUGAUCAGCCACACUGGAACUGAGACACGGUCCAGACUCCUACGGGAGGCAGCAGUAGGGAAUAUUCCGCAAUGGGCGAAAGCCUGACGGAGCAACGCCGCGUGAGUGAAGAAGGUCUUCGGAUCGUAAAACUCUGUUAUUAGGAAAGAAAAGAAGUGGAAGAAAAUAUGCACGUCUUGACGGUACCUAAACAAAAAGCAACGGCUAACUACGUG